ACGGCUCAGUAACACGUGGCCAACCUACCCUCAGGACGGAGACAACCCCGGGAAACUGGGGCUAAUCCCCGAUAGGUGAGGACGCCUGGAAUGACCCCUCACCCAAAGGACGUUGAAACCAUGCUUUUCAGCGUCGCCUAAGGAUGGAGCCGCGGCCGAUCAGGUUGUUGGUGGGGCAAAGGCUCACCAAGCCUAUAACCGGUACGGGCCAUGAGAGUGGGAGCCCGGAGAUGGGCACUGAGACAAGGGCCCAGGCCCUACGGGGCGCAGCAGUUGCGAAACCUCCACAAUGCACGAAAGUGUGAUGGGGCUAACCCGAGUGCCGUCCGCUGAGGAUGGCUUUUCUCCGCUGUAAGGAGGCGGAGGAAUAAGGAGAGGGCAAGACUGGUGUCAGCCGCCGCGGUAAUACCAGCUCUCCGAGUGGUAGGGACGAUUAUUGGGCUUAAAGCGUUCGUAGCCGGCCUGGCAAGUCUCUCGUCAAAUCCAGCGACUCAAUCGCUGGGCCGCGGGAGAUACUACUAGGCUUGGGAGCGGGAGAGGUCGACGGUAUUCCCGGGGUAGGAGUGAAAUCCUGUAAUCCCGGGAGGACCACCAGUGGCGAAGGCUGUCGACUAGAACGCGUCCGACGGUGAGGGACGAAAGCUGGGGGAGCGAACCGGAUUAGAUACCCGGGUAGUCCCAGCUGUAAACGAUGCGGGCUAGGUGUCGGUGUGGCUACGAGCCACUCCGGUGCCGCAGGGAAGCUCUUAAGCCCGCCGCCUGGGAAGUACGGUCGCAAGGCUGAAACUUAAAGGAAUUGGCGGGGGAGCACCACCAGGGGUGAAGCUUGCGGUUCAAUUGGAGUCAACGCCGGG
rnacentral:rRNA from 1 species